rnacentral:rRNA from 1 species
AUUGAACGCUGGCGGAAUGCUUUACACAUGCAAGUCGAGCGGCAGCGCGGGGGCAACCCUGGCGGCGAGCGGCGAACGGGUGAGUAACAUAUCGGAACGUACCCUGUCGUGGGGGAUAACUAUCCGAAAGGAUAGCUAAUACCGCAUACGACCUGAGGGUGAAAGCGGGGGACCGCAAGGCCUCGCGCGAUAGGAGCGGCCGAUAUCGGAUUAGCUAGUUGGUGAGGUAAAGGCUCACCAAGGCGACGAUCCGUAGCGGGUCUGAGAGGACGACCCGCCACACUGGAACUGAGACACGGUCCAGACUCCUACGGGAGGCAGCAGUGGGGAAUUUUGGACAAUGGGGGCAACCCUGAUCCAGCCAUUCCGCGUGAGUGAAGAAGGCCU